GUUAUAAAAGUCAAGGAAUUUGGGACGCCUGGUAAUAAAGCACUUUACGACGGAUGUAGAGCAGAAAGCAUUAAAAAAGAAGAGAAUAGCAUAAGCACCGACAAACCAGUUCGUUUCUUCGAAAAUUUAAAGGAUGUGAUACUAGAAUCUCCCAAAAUAAUAUCUAGUGGUGAUGAAGAAAGGAAGUUUAAAAAUAGUAUAAAGCUUGAAUAUCCUAAUUCAACAGCUAAGAUACAUUUACCAAAAAAAAUCUUCC